rnacentral:rRNA from 1 species
UACGUAGGGUCCGAGCGUUGUCCGGAAUUACUGGGCGUAAAGCGCGCGCAGGCGGCUUCCCAAGCGCCACGUGAAAGCCCCGGGCUCAACCCGGGAGGGUCGCGGCGAACUGGGAGGCUUGAGGCCGGUAGAGGUGGGUGGAACUCCUGGUGGAGUGGUGAAGUGCGUAGAGAUCAGGAAGAACACCCGUGGCGAAGGCGGCCCACUGGGCCGGUGCUGACGCUGAGGCGCGAAGGCGUGGGGAGCGAACGGG